CGGGGGGGGCAAGCGUUGUUCGGAAUUACUGGGCGUAAAGGGCUCGUAGCGGCCAACUAAGUCGGACGUGAAAUCCCCAGGCUCAACCUGGGAACUGCGUCGAUACUGGAUGGCUUGAAUCCGGGAGAGGGAUGCAGAAUUCCAGGUGUAGCGGUGAAAUGCGUAGAUAUCUGGAGGAAUACCGGUGGCGAAGGCGGCAUCCUGGACCGGCAUUGACGCUGAGGAGCGAAAGCCAGGGGAGCAAACGGGAUUAGAUACCCCGGUAGUCCUGGCCCUAAACGAUGAAUGCUUGGUGUAACGGGUAUCGAUCCCUGUUGUGCCGAAGCUAACGCAUUAAGCAUUCCGCCUGGGGGAGUACGGUCGCAAGGCUG
rnacentral:rRNA from 1 species